CCAAUAGCGUAUAUUAAAGUUGUUGCAGUUAAAAAGCUCGUAGUUGAAUUUCGGGGUUAGUAGAUUGGUCGUGCCACUGGUAUGCACUGGUCUUACUGAUUCCUCCUUCCUGAUGAACCGUAAUGCCAUUAAUUUGGUGUUGCGGGGAGACUGGACUGUUACUUUGAAAAAAUUAGAGUGUUUAAAGCAAGCUAACGCUUGAAUACAUUAGCAUGGAAUAAUGAAAUAGGACGAUCGAUCCUAUUUUGUUGGUUUCUAGGAUUGACGUAAUGAUUAAUAGGGAUAGUUGGGGGCAUUAGUAUUCAAUUGUCAGAGGUGAAAUUCUUGGAUUUAUUGAAGACUAACUACUGCGAAAGCAUUUGCCAAGGAUGUUUUCAUUAAUCAAGAACGAAAGUUAGGGGAUCGAAGACGAUCAGAUACCGUCGUAGUCUUAACCAUAAACUAUGCCGACUAGGGAUCGGAUGAUGUUAAUUUUAUAAUGACUCAUUCGGCGCCUUACG
rnacentral:rRNA from 1 species